rnacentral:miRNA from 1 species
CACACUCAAUGAGUGGAGGUUCAGUCUGAGCUUCUCUUGAGUGUCAGUGCUGUUUUUGAAUAGCUGGAGGAUGAGUAGUCGCAUAGUAAGGUAUACGACACUAACCCUUCAGCUAUUUAAACACAGCACUGACACUCAAGAGAAGCUCAGAUUGAACCUCCACUCAUUGAGUGU